GCCAGUGUGACAUAGUGGUUUGAGCACUGGACUAGGACUCUGGAUACUAGAGUUCAAAUCCCUACUCAGCCA